GACGAACGCUGGCGGCGUGCUUAACACAUGCAAGUCGAACGGAAAGGCCCUGCUUUUGUGGGGUGCUCGAGUGGCGAACGGGUGAGUAAAACGUGAGUAACCUGCCCUUGACUUUGGGAUAACUUCAGGAAACUGGGGCUAAUAUCGGAUAGGAGCUACUGCUGCAUGGUGGGGGUUGGAAAGUUUCGGCGGUUGGGGAUGGACUCGCGGCUUAUCAGCUUGUUGGUGGGGUAGUGGCUUACCAAGGCUUUGAAGGGUAGCCGGCCUGAGAGGGUGACCGGCCACAUUGGGACUGAGAUACGGCCCAGACUCCUACGGGAGGCAGCAGUGGGGAAUAUUGCACAAUGGGCGGAAGCCUGAUGCAGCAACGCCGCGUGCGGGAUGACGGCCUUCGGGUUGUAAACCGCUUUCGCCUGUGACGAAGCGUGAGUGACGGUAAUGGGUAAAGAAGCACCGGCUAACUACGUG
rnacentral:rRNA from 1 species